GAUGAAGAACGGAGCGAAAUGCGAUAAGUAGUGUGAAUUGCAGAAUUCAGUGAAUCAUCGAAUCUUUGAACGCACAUUGCGCCCUCUGGUAUUCCGGAGGGCAUGCCUGUUCGAGCGUCAUUAAAACUACUCAAGCUAAGGUUUUACCUUCUGCUUGGUCUUGGGUUUGAGGAUUCAAAAUCCUCUCUCCGAAAUCCAGUGGCGAAUUGUUUGAGCUGUAGACGUAGUAAAUCAUUCUACCCGUUGCAAGCGAGAAUAAUAUUCAGCCAUAACCCCCAUACUUUUCUAGUUUGACCUCGGAUCAGGUAGGGAUACCCGCUGAACUUAAGCAUAUCAAUAAGCGGAGGA
rnacentral:misc_RNA from 1 species